rnacentral:rRNA from 1 species
AGCCAUGCAUGUCUAAGUAUAAAUGAUAUACAGUGAAACUGCGAAUGGCUCAUUAAAACAGUUAUAGUUUAUUUGGUAAUCGAAUUUACAUGGAUAACCGUGGUAAUUCUAGAGCUAAUACAUGCUGUAAAGCCCGACUUCACGGAAGGGCCGUAUUUAUUAGAUAACAGACCAAUAUUCCUCGUGUCUAUUGUGGUGAAUCAUAGUAACUAAUCGGAUCGCAUGGGCUAGUCCCGCGACAAACCAUUCAAGUUUCUGCCCCAUCAGCUUUCGAUGGUAGUGUAUUGGACUACCAUGGCUUUUACGGGUAACGGAGGAUUAGGGUUCGAUUCCGGAGAGGGAGCCUGAGAAACGGCUACCACAUCUAAGGAAGGCAGCAGGCGCGUAAAUUACCCAAUCCUAAUUCAGGGAGGUAGUGACAAGAAAUAACGGGUCGGGGUUUAUGCCCCGGGACUGCAAUGAGAUGAAUUUACACCCCUUUUCGAGUAACAAUUGGAGGGCAAGUCUGGUGCCAGCAGCCGCGGUAAUUCCAGCUCCAAUAGCGUAUAUUAAAGUUGUUGCAGUUAAAAAGCUCGUAGUUGGAUUUCUGGUUGGCUGUUUCUGCCCUCUCGUGAGUGUGCAGUGGUAGCCUACCAUCCUUCUGUUAACCCAGCAGCUCUUCACGGGGCUACUGGGGGCUCAGAUAUUUUACCUUGAGAAAAUUAGAGUGUUUCAGGCAGGCUAGCGCCGGAAUACAUUAGCAUGGAAUAAUAGAAUAGGACUUUUACCUCUUCUGUUGGUCUGAGGGGUUCAAGUAAUGA